rnacentral:rRNA from 1 species
GAUGAACGCUAGCGGCAGGCCUAAUACAUGCAAGUCGAACGGUAAGGCCCUUUCGGGGGUACACGAGUGGCGGACGGGUGCGUAACGCGUAUGCAACAUACCUUCAAGCGGGGGAUAUGCCAGGGAAACUUGGUGCAACACCCCAUAGCAUUUCGGGACCGCAUGGUCUUGGGAUUAAAUAUUUAUAGCUUGGAGAUUGGCAUGCGUGACAUUAGCUAGUUGGCGGGGUAACGGCCCACCAAGGCGACGAUGUCUAGCUGGUCUGAGAGGAUGAUCAGCCACACUGGGACUGAGACACGGCCCAGACUCCUACGGGAGGCAGCAGUAGGGAAUAUUGGACAAUGGGGGGAACCCUGAUCCAGCCAUGCCGCGUGAGGGAAGAAGGUCCUCUGGAUUGUAAACCUCUUUUGGCGGGGGACAAACCUGCACUAUACGUGCAGCUGAGGGUACCCGCAGAAUAAGCACCGGCUAACUCCGUGCCAGCAGCCGCGGUAA